rnacentral:rRNA from 1 species
UACGUAGGGAGCGAGCGUUGUCCGGAAUUACUGGGUGUAAAGGGAGCGCAGGCGGGACUGCAAGUCAGAUGUGAAAUUUACGGGCUCAACCUGUAACGUGCAUUUGAAACUGUGGUUCUUGAGUGAAGCAGAGGUAAGCGGAAUUCCUGGUGUAGCGGUGAAAUGCGUAGAUAUCAGGAGGAACAUCGGUGGCGAAGGCGGCUUACUGGGCUUUAACUGACGCUGAGGCUCGAAAGCGUGGGGAG